GAAAGAAUAACGCUGCAAGCAGUAUUUUUCUGUCCGCGAUGUGAUGCGGAGCAAGAAGGAUCCGUUCUAACACGCAAUGUAAGUCAAUGGGGACGGAUCCGUUUUCUCAGACACAAUAGAAAACGGAUCCUUCCCCCAUUAAAUUUCAAUGGAGUUCAUGACUGAUCCGUCUUGGCAAUGUUAAAGAUAAUACAACCGGAUCCGUUCAUGACGGAUGCAGACGGGUUGUAUUAUCAGUAACGGAAGCGUUUUUUCCUGAGCCCUGCCGGGAUCUAGCAAAAAACGCAAAGUGUGAAAGUA